GACGAACGCUGGCGGCGUGCUUAACACAUGCAAGUCGAACGGAAAGGCCCUGCUUUUGUGGGGUGCUCGAGUGGCGAACGGGUGAGUAACACGUGAGUAACCUGCCCUUGACUUUGGGAUAACUUCAGGAAACUGGGGCUAAUACCGGAUAGGAGCUCCUGCUGCAUGGUGGGGGUUGGAAAGUUUCGGCGGUUGGGGAUGGACUCGCGGCUUAUCAGCUUGUUGGUGGGGUAGUGGCUUACCAAGGCUUUGACGGGUAGCCGGCCUGAGAGGGUGACCGGCCACAUUGGGGCUGAGAUACGGCCCAGACUCCUACGGGAGGCAGCAGUGGGGAAUAUUGCACAAUGGGCGGAAGCCUGAUGCAGCAACGCCGCGUGCGGGAUGACGGCCUUCGGGUUGUAAACCGCUUUCGCCUGUGACGAAGCGUGAGUGACGGUAAUGGGUAAAGAAACACCGGCUAACUACGUG
rnacentral:rRNA from 1 species